AUUUGUCACCUAUUUCUUCCAUCUCCUCAACGCCUCUGGACUGGACUAAAAAACCUUGUGCCAUCCAUGAAGUGAUUACUUGAUUCUUCUCAAAUACAUAACCCUUGGGAAAUAUUGCACAAUAAGCAAAACAACGUUUCAGGUGUGAAGGGAGAUAAUAAUAGCUCAAUGUUAGAGCUGGAGGGAUGUUUUCAUUCGACGAACCCCACAUACUGCUAUUGGAUAUCUUCUCCCAUUGCUUGACAUCUCCUACGGAGUGCAAAAGACCCCCAAGAGUUUUCGCUGCCAGCGGUAAACCUUUGCACUUUCUCACUAUUACUCUGCCAAAUUCUUCCAAGUGUGAGACUGCUCCAGAAUUUACACCACUAAAUGCAUCCCUUGCAAACAACUUCCAGCAAUCUUCAUCGCUUAUUACAUUCAAGCGGUGAGAGGGGAUGACAGUCUGCGUGACUUUUGCUACAUCUUCUUCCCGUGUUGUCACGACAAUCUUACUUCCGUGCUCCACAUACCGCAAAGGUAGCAGUAAUUUAUCCCAUUCAUUGUACUCGAUGUUCCACGCGUCAUCUAGAACAAGUAGAAGUUUUUUCCCUUUCACUGCCUCCAUUAGAGAUUCAUUUGGUUCUUUGGAUUCAUCUGGUUCUUUGGUGGGGCAAGUCCUUGCUUUGAUCUUCUUAAUAAUAUCCUCAAUAAUCCUGGUGACGUCAAAUUGUUGAGAAGCCCAGACCCAGGCCUUGAGUUGGAAGAACUGAUCUACCUUUUCGUCGUUGUAGAUAAGCUGAGCAAGAGUGGUUUUACCAAUCCCGCCCAUGCCCACAAUAGGAACCACAACUAAAUUUGGGCCAUCUGUCUUGUGUUGUGUCAGCAAGUGCUCCAUUAUGGCUUCCUUAUCAGCGUCCCUUCCAUAUACAUCAGGUUCAUUAACCAGUGGAGUUGUUUUCUCUGACAAUGGUCUCCAUCCACCAGUACCUUCUAUGUGGCGCAGAUCACCCUUGUGUUUAAGUAAACGUUCAAGCUUCUCAUAGAUCUUUUGUAACUCUGCUCCAAUCUCUUUCAUCCUUCUAUUAGCUGGAUUUAGAAAUGGAACCAGAUUCCUUGCCUGCAAUGGUGGACUAAAUAUAUGAGAUAGAAUUCAGGAUAACAUUAUAAUUUUUUAAUAUCAAAACAUAAACAUUAAGAUUUUUACAUCUAGAGAAUUAAUAAGUUUUCUUUCUACAGAUCUUUUUCAAGAAUUUACAAUUGUUGAUGCUAACUUAAUGCACGCAGUAAAAUUCAAGUUUUAAAAAGAUAGUGAUUAAAUGUCUAGAAAACUAAUUAAUAAAUGAGAAUUUGCAAGCAUAAUUACGCCAUAGACACCAAAAGCCAAUGAUAUUAGUUGCAUGCAUAACAAUGAAUACUCUUUAAUUAAAACUCACAGAAAGACAACAACCAUCCCUAAAAUUAUUUUUUCCUCGUUUACAGACUUGAGAGCAUACAUGAAAGUUAAAAAAAAAAAAAAAACA